rnacentral:rRNA from 1 species
GGGUUGUGAGGUUAAGCGACUAAGCGUACACGGUGGAUGCCCUGGCAGUCAGAGGCGAUGAAGGACGUGCUAAUCUGCGAAAAGCGUCGGUAAGGUGAUAUGAACCGUUACAGCCGGCGAUGUCCGAAUGGGGAAACCCAGUGUGAUUCGUCACACUAUCGUUAACUGAAUACAUAGGUUAACGAGGCGAACCGGGGGAACUGAAACAUCUAAGUACCCCGAGGAAAAGAAAUCAACCGAGAUUCCCCCAGUAGCGGCGAGCGAACGGGGAGCAGCCCAGAGUCUGAAUCAGCUUGUGUGUUAGUGGAACGGUCUGGAAAGUCCGACGGUACAGGGUGAUAGUCCCGUACACCAAAAUGCACAGGCUGUGAACUCGAAGAGUAGGGCGGGACACGUGGUAUCCUGUCUGAAUAUGGGGGGACCAUCCUCCAAGGCUAAAUACUCCUGACUGACCGAUAGUGAACCAGUACCGUGAGGGAAAGGCGAAAAGAACCCCGGCGAGGGGAGUGAAAAAGAACCUGAAACCGUGUACGUACAAGCAGUGGGAGCACCUUUAUGGUGUGACUGCGUACCUUUUGUAUAAUGGGUCAGCGACUUAUAUUCUGUAGCAAGGUUAACCGUAUAGGGGAGCCGCAGGGAAACCGAGUCUUAACUGGGCGUUAAGUUGCAGGGUAUAGACCCGAAACCCGGUGAUCUAGCCAUGGGCAGGUUGAAGGUUGGGUAACACUAACUGGAGGACCGAACCGACUAAUGUUGAAAAAUUAGCGGAUGACUUGUGGCUGGGGGUGAAAGGCCAAUCAAACCGGGAGAUAGCUGGUUCUCCCCGAAAGCUAUUUAGGUAGCGCCUCGUGAAUUCAUCUUCGGGGGUAGAGCACUGUUUCGGCUAGGGGGUCAUCCCGACUUACCAACCCGAUGCAAACUACGAAUACCGAAGAAUGUUAUCACGGGAGACACACGGCGGGUGCUAACGUCCGUCGUGAAGAGGGAAACAACCCAGACCGCCAGCUAAGGUCCCAAAGUCACAGUUAAGUGGGAAACGAUGUGGGAAGGCACAGACAGCCAGGAUGUUGGCUUAGAAGCAGCCAUCAUUUAAAGAAAGCGUAAUAGCUCACUGGUCGAGUCGGCCUGCGCGGAAGAUGUAACGGGGCUAAACUGUGCACCGAAGCUGCGGCAGCGACACUAUGUGUUGUUGGGUAGGGGAGCGUUCUGUAAGCCUGCGAAGGUGGCCUGUGAGGGUUGCUGGAGGUAUCAGAAGUGCGAAUGCUGACAUAAGUAACGAUAAUGCGGGUGAAAAGCCCGCACGCCGGAAGACCAAGGGUUCCUGUCCAACGUUAAUCGGGGCAGGGUGAGUCGACCCCUAAGGCGAGGCCGAAAGGCGUAGUCGAUGGGAAACAGGUUAAUAUUCCUGUACUUGGUGUUACUGCGAAGGGGGGACGGAGAAGGCUAUGUUAGCCGGGCGACGGUUGUCCCGGUUUAAGCAUGUAGGCGGAGGUUCCAGGUAAAUCCGGUACCUUUUAACGCUGAGGUGUGAUGACGAGGCACUACGGUGCUGAAGUAACAAAUGCCCUGCUUCCAGGAAAAGCCUCUAAGCAUCAGGUAACAUUGAAUCGUACCCCAAACCGACACAGGUGGUCAGGUAGAGAAUACCAAGGCGCUUGAGAGAACUCGGGUGAAGGAACUAGGCAAAAUGGUGCCGUAACUUCGGGAGAAGGCACGCUGAUAUGUAGGUGAAGUCCCUGCGGAUGGAGCUGAAAUCAGUCGAAGAUACCAGCUGGCUGCAACUGUUUAUUAAAAACACAGCACUGUGCAAACACGAAAGUGGACGUAUACGGUGUGACGCCUGCCCGGUGCCGGAAGGUUAAUUGAUGGGGUUAUCCGUAAGGAGAAGCUCUUGAUCGAAGCCCCGGUAAACGGCGGCCGUAACUAUAACGGUCCUAAGGUAGCGAAAUUCCUUGUCGGGUAAGUUCCGACCUGCACGAAUGGCGUAAUGAUGGCCAGGCUGUCUCCACCCGAGACUCAGUGAAAUUGAACUCGCUGUGAAGAUGCAGUGUACCCGCGGCAAGACGGAAAGACCCCGUGAACCUUUACUAUAGCUUGACACUGAACAUUGAGCCUUGAUGUGUAGGAUAGGUGGGAGGCUUUGAAGCGUGGACGCCAGUCUGCGUGGAGCCAACCUUGAAAUACCACCCUUUAAUGUUUGAUGUUCUAACGUUGGCCCCUGACCGGGGUUGCGGACAGUGUCUGGUGGGUAGUUUGACUGGGGCGGUCUCCUCCCAAAGAGUAACGGAGGAGCACGAAGGUUAGCUAAUCCUGGUCGGACAUCAGGAGGUUAGUGCAAUGGCAUAAGCUAGCUUGACUGCGAGCGUGACGGCGCGAGCAGGUGCGAAAGCAGGUCAUAGUGAUCCGGUGGUUCUGAAUGGAAGGGCCAUCGCUCAACGGAUAAAAGGUACUCCGGGGAUAACAGGCUGAUACCGCCCAAGAGUUCAUAUCGACGGCGGUGUUUGGCACCUCGAUGUCGGCUCAUCACAUCCUGGGGCUGAAGUAGGUCCCAAGGGUAUGGCUGUUCGCCAUUUAAAGUGGUACGCGAGCUGGGUUUAGAACGUCGUGAGACAGUUCGGUCCCUAUCUGCCGUGGGCGCUGGAGAAUUGAGGGGGGCUGCUCCUAGUACGAGAGGACCGGAGUGGACGCAUCACUGGUGUUCGGGUUGUCAUGCCAAUGGCAUUGCCCGGUAGCUAAAUGCGGAAGAGAUAAGUGCUGAAAGCAUCUAAGCACGAAACUUGCCCCGAGAUGAGUUCUCCCUGAGACUUUAAGUCUCCUGAAGGAACGUUAAAGACGAUGACGUUGAUAGGUCGGGUGUGUAAGCGUAGCGAUACGUUGAGCUAACCGAUACUAAUGAACCGUGAGGCUUAACCUUACAACGCCGAAG